GGUUGACUUUGGUUCAACACACUCGUAUGUUUUGAGUGAACUAGCCAGAGAGUUGGGAAUAGCAGAAAAUACCAUAGAAAAAGGUGCGACUGUUACUAGUUCAUUUAGGGAUAGUAUGUUAGCUAAUGGAGUAUACCGUCAGUGUCCACUGGAGGAAUAAUCGAUCCCCACCGUUCGGCAACUCAGAUCUGAAAAAUUAGGAAGCAUACUGGUCUAAAUGCCCUGAACCAGCAGUGAAGACGAUUACUUGUUGCGCCCUCGUUUCGCACUGAAUCAGUGUAAGUGGUUUAAACGAUUUGGUUUCGUAAAUUGGACAUGGUAGAACUGAUUUAGCCAAACCCUUAGAGGGUGUUUUAAUGUUGGUUUAACAACAUCUUAACUUUAUAAAUGUUGUAUUUUGUUUGAGGUACGAGUUAAUUUUAAGGGAGGAAGUGCGAACUCCGCAAAAAUAGUGUUGCGGUUUUGCGAUUUUAAAGUAUGGGUUCCAACUUCUAAAAUUAAGUGUUAAAAUUAUAUUUUUAGUGUUUAAA